UACAGAGGGUGCGAGCGUUGUCCGGAAUCACUGGGCGUAAAGGGCGCGUAGGUGGCGCGACAAGUCAGUGGUGAAAGCUCGACGCUCAACGUCGAGUCGGCCACUGAGACUGUUGGGCUUGAGCACUGUAGAGGCUAAUGGAAUUCCGGGUGUAGCGGUGGAAUGCGUAGAGAUCCGGAAGAACACCGGUGGCGAAGGCGGCCCGCUGGGCAGUGGCUGACGCUGAGGCGCGACAGCGUGGGGAGCAAACAGG
rnacentral:rRNA from 1 species